rnacentral:rRNA from 1 species
UACGUAGGGAGCGAGCGUUGUCCGGAUUUAUUGGGCGUAAAGAGCUCGUAGGCGGUUUGGUAAGUCGGGCGUGAAAGCUCCGGGCUCAACUCGGAGAGGUCACUCGAUACUGCCAUGACUGGAGUCCGGUAGGGGGGUGUGGAAUUCCCAGUGUAGCGGUGAAAUGCGCAGAUAUUGGGAGGAACACCAAUGGCGAAGGCAGCGCCCUGGGCCGGUACUGACGCUGAGGAGCGAAAGCGUGGGGAGCAAUCAGG